GAAAAAAUCACAGCCUCUUAAAUGUAUUUGAAGUUUGUUAUUUCAUCAAAAGUUUGGUUACAAACAGUGCGGAACAUAUCGUUUGAAAAUCAAUAAUAAAACACCUACGUAUGUAAUUUUACACCAACAAUGAGGAUAUUCGUUAUCCUUUCGUGUCCUUAGUAUCGUAAAAUACUUACACAUUUUACGAAGAAAAAACAAGGUGUCAGGUUUCGUAAAAAUCGUAACCAAAUUUCGUAAAAAUCGAUUUUCGAUGACAAAAUCUUUCAAGGCCUACAAAAUCUCAGAACCGUCGCAACUUAUUUUACGAUACUAAGGAGACGAAGAAAUAAUGAAUACCCUCAAUAUUUCACUCGAUACAAAAAUGCAUAAAAUUUUUACAUUAUCAUUCACGUCUGUCUCCGAUUUUAACCCACCCGAUCCAAGCGAUGAUGUACAAAAACAGAUUGACGAGUUGAAGCAGGGCAUUACUGAUUUGCAGGCAAAAUCGCAGGUAUUGAUCCGGACGGUGACCUGGAUCAACUUCGGGAGGCAGUGGCCAUCAUGCAGGAGCAAAUGGCGGUUUUGAAUACUGCGCUGGACAACGCUACCAAACAGGCGAUUAACGAGCUACAACCGGAAAUAGAUGAACUCACCUUUUCCCUCAGCACGGUCGCGGCCAGUUUAUACGCGCUAAAAGUGGCCAUCGCCAAUGUAGAAAGUGCCCUUGAAGAGACCCAAAUUGUAGAUAUCGUUUCCGGAAUACUUUACGGAUCCAUAGCUGAGGCUGUGUUCCGGUACGAACACGGCGUCUUCAAGAGGACCAGUGCCUACAACGCGAUGUCAACCAUUGUGACGUUAGCCUAUCCCGAAUUCCUGAAAAACACUGAUUAUUUCCUAAACUUUUUGAACUUUCUGUCCGAACUGAAGAACGAUCUGCAUGUUACCAAGACCUAUACUUCGCGGUCCUUGCGAACGGUCAGCUCUACAAUGUCCCGCAGCCGUUCAUCCUCGCCUAUAAAAUCUCCAACCUUCACGAAACCUCAAACAGCGUCAUCGCAUGGAAAGCGAAAUAUUUUCUUACCAAAGUUGUCCAUCCUGUAAUUUCGACAAUCGUCUUUCAAUCUGCUCUUCCUCUCGCGUUGAAAUGGGGCCUUAACUUAAGCAAACAAAAUUGCAUCUUUGGAUUCAUCGUACCAAGGGAGGAUGAAAUUCGUAAAUAUGAUCUCGAUCUGCCCUAUUCCUUUGAGGGCUCGGAUAUGUACAGCAUGUUACGUGGCUGGACAUACGCACACAAUGUGAAGGAUCCAGGUAGCGAAAUAUGGUAUCUCCUUCGUCGUGGGAAUACCUUGAGUACGAGAAUGACAGUGAGAAAGAAUGAGACCGAUUUUUUUUACACGUACGACAGCCUGGACAUGGAAACCAAAUGUGACUUCCAUGAUUGUUCACAGUCCGUCCUACCCGUCACAAAUGGAGUGUCGUACCUGGUAUUUGGUCGAAACAUGACUUGUCUGUCGCCCCAAGUACAUAUUUCAUGAUUUGAGUUAUAAAAACUAAAUAUUUAUUUAAUAAAUAUUCUCUCAUUUUCUAAAUUCGACAGUUAUGUAUCUAAAUAUAUUGCAUAAUAAUUCAAUGGGGUUGGUGAAAAGAGAGCAUACAAAUGUAUAUUUUAAAAAUAUAUGUCUGUCUUAAAUUAGUAUGUAAUGCUCAGUUUUAAUAAAUUGGAUAUAAAUCAGAUUUUUCCGGUUUUCAUAAUUAUUUAUUAACUAGUUCCUUAAUUAUUUUUUAAGUUCUCCUAAAUCGUAAAUUUUCGCGAUGAUUUUCACCUUUCAAGUUAAGAAUUUUGAGUUAGAUUUGCCAUAUUAUGGCACAUGUAUGUAUAAACAGCUUCCCCAACAUAAUCACAAAUAAUUAUAUACUGAAGUAGUAAAUACAUACUUUGUAUCUGACAGGUAAAUAAAUAGUUUCAAAUGGAUGCGUGUUAGAGCUUAACAAAUACGUAAUUAUGUACUAUCAAAUUUUUUAAAUAAAUUUCAAUUUGGUAGAA